AGGGCGCACGGUGGAUGCCUUGGCACUAGAAGCCGAUGAAGGACGUUACUAACGACGAUAUGCUUUGGGGAGCUGUAAGUAAGCUUUGAUCCAGAGAUUUCCGAAUGGGGAAACCCAGCAUGAGUUAUGUCAUGUUAUCGAUAUGUGAAUACAUAGCAUAUCAGAAGGCACACCCGGAGAACUGAAACAUCUUAGUACCCGGAGGAAGAGAAAGAAAAUUCGAUUCCCUUAGUAGCGGCGAGCGAAACGGGAAGAGCCCAAACCAACAAGCAAGCUUGUUGGGGUUGUAGGACACUCUAUACGGAGUUACAAAGGACGACAUUAGACGAAUCAUCUGGAAAGAUGAAUCAAAGAAGGUAAUAAUCCUGUAGUCGAAAAUGUUGUCUCUCUUGAGUGGAUCCUGAGUACGACGGAGCACGUGAAAUUCCGUCGGAAUCUGGGAGGACCAUCUCCUAAGGCUAAAUACUCUCUAGUGACCGAUAGUGAACCAGUACCGUGAGGGAAAGGUGAAAAGCACCCCGGAAGGGGAGUGAAAUAGAACCUGAAACCGUGUGCUUACAAGUAGUCAGAGCCCGUUAAUGGGUGAUGGCGUGCCUUUUGUAGAAUGAACCGGCGAGUUACGAUUUGAUGCAAGGUUAAGCAGUAAAUGUGGAGCCGUAGCGAAAGCGAGUCUGAAUAGGGCGUUUAGUAUUUGGUCGUAGACCCGAAACCAGGUGAUCUACCCUUGGUCAGGUUGAAGUUCAGGUAACACUGAAUGGAGGACCGAACCGACUUACGUUGAAAAGUGAGCGGAUGAACUGAGGGUAGCGGAGAAAUUCCAAUCGAACCUGGAGAUAGCUGGUUCUCUCCGAAAUAGCUUUAGGGCUAGCCUCAAGUGAUGAUUAUUGGAGGUAGAGCACUGUUUGGACGAGGGGCCCCUCUCGGGUUACCGAAUUCAGACAAACUCCGAAUGCCAAUUAAUUUAACUUGGGAGUCAGAACAUGGGUGAUAAGGUCCGUGUUCGAAAGGGAAACAGCCCAGACCACCAGCUAAGGUCCCAAAAUAUAUGUUAAGUGGAAAAGGAUGUGGCGUUGCCCAGACAACUAGGAUGUUGGCUUAGAAGCAGCCAUCAUUUAAAGAGUGCGUAAUAGCUCACUAGUCGAGUGACACUGCGCCGAAAAUGUACCGGGGCUAAACAUAUUACCGAAGCUGUGGAUUGUCCUUUGGACAAUGGUAGGAGAGCGUUCUAAGGGCGUUGAAGCAUGAUCGUAAGGACAUGUGGAGCGCUUAGAAGUGAGAAUGCCGGUGUGAGUAGCGAAAGACGGGUGAGAAUCCCGUCCACCGAUUGACUAAGGUUUCCAGAGGAAGGCUCGUCCGCUCUGGGUUAGUCGGGUCCUAAGCUGAGGCCGACAGGCGUAGGCGAUGGAUAACAGGUUGAUAUUCCUGUACCACCUAUAAUCGUUUUAAUCGAUGGGGGGACGCAGUAGGAUAGGCGAAGCGUGCGAUUGGAUUGCACGUCUAAGCAGUAAGGCUGAGUAUUAGGCAAAUCCGGUACUCGUUAAGGCUGAGCUGUGAUGGGGAGAAGACAUUGUGUCUUCGAGUCGUUGAUUUCACACUGCCGAGAAAAGCCUCUAGAUAGAAAAUAGGUGCCCGUACCGCAAACCGACACAGGUAGUCAAGAUGAGAAUUCUAAGGUGAGCGAGCGAACUCUCGUUAAGGAACUCGGCAAAAUGACCCCGUAACUUCGGGAGAAGGGGUGCUCUUUAGGGUUAACGCCCAGAAGAGCCGCAGUGAAUAGGCCCAAGCGACUGUUUAUCAAAAACACAGGUCUCUGCUAAACCGUAAGGUGAUGUAUAGGGGCUGACGCCUGCCCGGUGCUGGAAGGUUAAGAGGAGUGGUUAGCUUCUGCGAAGCUACGAAUCGAAGCCCCAGUAAACGGCGGCCGUAACUAUAACGGUCCUAAGGUAGCGAAAUUCCUUGUCGGGUAAGUUCCGACCCGCACGAAAGGCGUAACGAUUUGGGCACUGUCUCAACGAGAGACUCGGUGAAAUCAUAGUACCUGUGAAGAUGCAGGUUACCCGCGACAGGACGGAAAGACCCCGUGGAGCUUUACUGUAGCCUGAUAUUGAAAUUCGGCACAGCUUGUACAGGAUAGGUAGGAGCCUUUGAAACGUGAGCGCUAGCUUACGUGGAGGCGCUGGUGGGAUACUACCCUAGCUGUGUUGGCUUUCUAACCCGCACCACUUAUCGUGGUGGGAGACAGUGUCAGGCGGGCAGUUUGACUGGGGCGGUCGCCUCCUAAAAGGUAACGGAGGCGCUCAAAGGUUCCCUCAGAAUGGUUGGAAAUCAUUCAUAGAGUGUAAAGGCAUAAGGGAGCUUGACUGCGAGACCUACAAGUCGAGCAGGGUCGAAAGACGGACUUAGUGAUCCGGUGGUUCCGCAUGGAAGGGCCAUCGCUCAACGGAUAAAAGCUACCCCGGGGAUAACAGGCUUAUCUCCCCCAAGAGUUCACAUCGACGGGGAGGUUUGGCACCUCGAUGUCGGCUCAUCGCAUCCUGGGGCUGUAGUCGGUCCCAAGGGUUGGGCUGUUCGCCCAUUAAAGCGGUACGCGAGCUGGGUUCAGAACGUCGUGAGACAGUUCGGUCCCUAUCCGUCGUGGGCGUAGGAAAUUUGAGAGGAGCUGUCCUUAGUACGAGAGGACCGGGAUGGACAUACCUCUGGUGUACCAGUUGUCGUGCCAACGGCAUAGCUGGGUAGCUAUGUGUGGACGGGAUAAGUGCUGAAAGCAUCUAAGCAUGAAGCCCCCCUCAAGAUGAGAUUUCCCAACUUCGGUUAU
rnacentral:rRNA from 1 species